GUGCCAGCAGCCGCGGUAAUACGAAAGGGGCAAGCGUUGCUCGGAUUUACUGGGCGUAAAGAGAUCGUAGGUGGCUUGUUAAGUCGGAUGUGAAAUCCCGGGGCUCAACCCCGGAACUGCAUUCGAUACUGGCAGGCUUGAGUUCGGGAGGGGUAAGCGGAAUUCCGUGUGUAGCAGUGAAAUGCGUAGAUAUACGGAGGAACACCUGAGGCGAAGGCGGCUUACUGGACCGAUACUGACACUGAGGAUCGAAAGCGUGGGUAGCAAACAGGAUUAGAUACCCUGGUAGUCCACGCCCUAAACGAUGUCAACUAGCCGUUGCGGGUAUCGACCCCUGCAGUGGCGCAGCUAACGCGAUAAGUUGACCGCCUGGGGAGUACGGCCGCAAGGCUAAAACUCAAAUGAAUUGACGG
rnacentral:rRNA from 1 species